GAAACCCGGUGAUCUAGCCAUGGGCAGGUUGAAGGUUGGGUAACACUAACUGGAGGACCGAACCGACUAAUGUUGAAAAAUUAGCGGAUGACUUGUGGCUGGGGGUGAAAGGCCAAUCAAACCGGGAGAUAGCUGGUUCUCCCCGAAAGCUAUUUAGGUAGCGCCUCGUGAAUUCAUCUCCGGGGGUAGAGCACUGUUUCGGCAAGGGGGUCAUCCCGACUUACCAACCCGAUGCAAACUGCGAAUACCGGAGAAUGUUAUCACGGGAGACACACGGCGGGUGCUAACGUCCGUCGUGAAGAGGGAAACAACCCAGACCGCCAGCUAAGGUCCCAAAGUCAUGGUUAAGUGGGAAACGAUGUGGGAAGGCCCAGACAGCCAGGAUGUUGGCUUAGAAGCAGCCAUCAUUUAAAGAAAGCGUAAUAGCUCACUGGUCGAGUCGGCCUGCGCGGAAGAUGUAACGGGGCUAAACCAUGCACCGAAGCUGCGGCAGCGACACUAUGUGUUGUUGGGUAGGGGAGCGUUCUGUAAGCCUGUGAAGGUGGCCUGUGAGGGUUGCUGGAGGUAUCAGAAGUGCGAAUGCUGACAUAAG
rnacentral:rRNA from 1 species